CAAAGCCAAGGCCCAACCCCAACCCUAACCCUAACCCCAGCCGAAGUGGCUCGUGCCCCCGUGAUGCACUCAAACUAGGUGUAUGCGCCAAUGUGCUAAACUUGGUGAAUGCCACUUUGGGUCAACCACCAGUUACCCCUUGCUGCACCCUUCUCGAUGGCCUCGUUGACCUUGAGGCUGCAGUGUGCCUUUGCACUGCCCUCAAAGCAAACAUUUUGGGCAUCAACCUCAACCUUCCAAUCUCACUCAGCUUGCUUCUCAACGUUUGCUCAAGGAAAGUCCCACGUAAUUUCCAAUGUGCUUAAUCGUGGCCCAUGAAACAAGUUGCUUCGUGUUUCCUAGUUGUGGCUUUCCGUUGUUUUUUUUUUCAAAUUCCAUUUAUCAUGGUGUGAUUCUUGUACGUGCAUGGAUGAUUAACUUCUCGUUAUUAAUUCUGUCGCUUUAUUGAUUGUUUUAUCAGGCAAAGUGUCACAUUAAAUAAAUUCCCAAUGCUUAAUUUGUUAUGUAAAGCAAAAGGAAUAAAAAAUAUGGUAGUGUUAUUUAUUUGACAGAUAAAUGAUUAAUGUUACAAAUAUACUUUUUAAUAUUUAUCGCUGCCUUUUUGUUUGUCUUUUCGGUGAAUGAGAGCAUCUGCUGAUCAGAAAAAUUACAUUGCUUUCUAACUUGUGUCCAAUGCGCAACCAGAGGAAAACUAAUUCAAGAAAAGUAUAAAAACAAAAGCAAACAUGCACAACACUGCAAAUGAACCCGUGACGAGUGUACAAGCACUCCACGUGCAUGCACUAUUAUUUUAUUUUUAAAAACUCAGAACAACCAGCUAUUAAACAAAGAUANNNNNNNNNNNNNNNNNNNNNNNNNNNNNNNNNNNNNNNNNNNNNNNNNNNNNNNNNNNNNNNNNNNNNNNNNNNNNNNNNNNNNNNNNNNNNNNNNNNNAGGAAGGUUAAUUCAAUCUACAGUUGGUGACUCUAUCACUUACAAUGAUUAGCCUUAUUCCAAGUACCAUAAGAGACAUGUACAAUAUCCUACUGAUUAUUGUUCUUACAAGCCUUCUGAAGUCCAUAGCCUGGUUCCUAAUCUAGAUCAAUCCCCCAGUUCAGGUGUGUGGAAAUGUCUCUGUCUUCCUCCUAAUGCUUCUAUAUACUUUAACCUUUAGGACGGGUCUCCUGAUUCAUUGGGAUACUCUUACGCCUCGAUGUAAGCCUAGUCGUCCUAGGUCUUAUAUUGUGAGUGAUUUACCUCAGGAUGAUUGAGGUGGGCCCAAUACACAGCCCUUCAAGCCAUAAGUACAGUAUGCGUGAAGUGGGUUUGUAGAGUUCAGGUUGACCGAGGUGUGGCUCAAUACUCAAACCCUCAAGUCAUGAGUAAAGUAUGCACGAAGUGAAUUUGUAGAGUUUGGACCCACUGAGGUUUAACCCAAUACAACUAUCAAGAUUGAAAUUGCAAGGUACUUAUUAAAACACGCCUAUUGAAUUCUUAACAAGUCAACGAUUACAAAUCUUGCAAGAACACUAGUUGAAAUAUUGUGUAAAAUUAUAAAUGAAUGAACCGCAAAUAAAAGUGCCUAAACCAUCCCUGCUUAACAUAGUAUAGAAAAAAAAGAGUAGUGAUACAUGAAUCAUUACCUAUUAUAUACACCCCAUCAAUAUCCAUCUUUUUUUUUUAUCUCUCUCUUUCUAUCACAUUAUAAUAUCUAUCAUACCUAUAUUUCUCCCCCUUUAUAUCCCUAGGUAUUAUAGGACAUGGGUACCAUUAACUAUUUUCCAAAAGAAAAAUAGAAUACUUUUCUCAAUCAAGAUGUCCCCAAUACAAUUUACAAAAGGAAAAUAUUUCUUAAACCCACAACACUGCCUCAACGAGUAUAGCAAACAAAUUAGGGUCUACCUAGGGGUAGGAGGGUGGAGAUAACUUCAUGAAGACUUAAAGUUCCAUUUUUUAUUGUAAAAGAAGUGAUCGAGUGCAACAAUUGAUUAAUUGAUUGAAUAAAUUUGCCUUCCCCACUUCCAGUGUUUAAAAUUGUAUGGGUCUAUUUGGAUAAACUUUUCUAGAAGUAUUUUUAGGAAAAAAAUAAGAAAAAAUAAAAUAAUUUUUUUCAUAAGUUAAAAUGAGUUAUUAGUUAAUUUGUAGAUGUUUUUUUUAUUUUUAUAAGAAAAGUUAUAUGAGAGAAUUUUUACAAAUUAAUUAAUAAUUAAUUAAUGCAAAACUUAUUUUAGUUUAUGGAGAAGUUCAUAUCAUUUUUUUUUUAGAAGUGCUUCCAAAGAAAUUAACCCACACAAAUCCUAUGUCCUUCUAGGAGGUGACUACCAGCAAAAUUGCAUGUGUUUUUCAAAUUGAACCAUCUAAGUUAUCUAUAAAAAAAAUGAACCAUCAAAUUAAAUUGAAUGGUUGAGACGUUGUAUACAACAUUAUAAAUUGAAUUGAUAUGAUGUUGUACAUUUUUUUAGUCAUCAACAUACGUGUGGAACAAAACCAAUUUAUUACAUUUCUCACAUGUAAAUUGAACCGAUGUGAUUUUACAUAGAAAUGAGCUUUCUUGUGUAACAUGAGUGUCCCUUUUAUAGUCAGUUUUGUGGGAAUGAAAGAGGGACGAGUGAAAAUGAAAAACGAUGAAAGUAGAAAUGUUAAAUUUAAAAUAAGUAGCUUUUAAGUAAUUUUAAAAUAAGGGAGACGUGUGUUUGAUAGGGAUGAAAGUGGGGUGAAAGAUUUAAAAAAAUAGAUUCCCACAGCACAAUAAUUUCACAUCAAAAUUAGAUGAAAGUAGGAUAAAGUAAGUAGCACCAUUAAGAGAGAAAAAGCGCUCCUCGAUUAGUUUGAUUCGGCAGUUAUAUAUAAUCGAUUAUGUUAUAUUAAUAAUUUGUUAUAUAUAUAUAUAUAUAUAUAUAUAUAUAUAUAUAUAUAUAUAUAUAUAUAUAUAUAUAUAUAUACAAUUUGUUUUAAAAAAAUAUUUAUCAUAAAAAAAAAAAAAAUAAAGAUAUUUAAUAAUAUUAAUAAAUAUUAUUAGUAAACAAUAAUAAUAAUAUUAAAUUCAAUAUUAAUAUUUUUCUUACGUAUCUAUCUAAUACCUUUAAUUCAAAUAUUUUAUAUGCCUUUCACCAUUUUUUUUAUCUAAACUAAAAAAAAUAUUAUUUUUUACUAUUUUUAUCUUUCUUUUACAUUGAACAUUAUAUUUAAAAUUGAUGAGACUCAUUAUAUUAUUUCUUAUUUAUUUUUACUCAUUUUCCCUAUCUUUUCAACCAAACAUCUUUAUUUUUAACAUUAUUUUUCACCUAUUCCUUUUAUUUUUAUCUUCUUUAUUUUCUUUUCAUUCAUCACAACCAAUCCAAACAUAAUAUCUUUCAUCAAAUUCUGAAGUACUAUAAUAAUAAUAACUAGCCUGUUAGCUAGUGGUUAUGUGGUGAUUCGGUACCGUGGGCAAUAGGCAGUCGAGACACACUUGCAUUUCUCCUUUUGAUAAACAAAAUCGAAUUUCAAUCUUUUGUACUAAGAGAUACAGGAAUAAAUUGUAAAAAUGUUACAAAAUGAAAAUUAAUCAUUAAAAUUAUUCACGCAUAAUAAAUUAAAAAUUCAAUUAAAUAAAUUUUGAAAUCAAUAAUUUUAAAUUUUGUCUUUUACAGUAAAAUGUUAAUGUUUAGAUGGGCACAUUACUUACUCUCUUGUAUCUUCUUACAUGCAGUAUUCGCUGUAUAUACUAAGAUCCAGUCUUGAGUAACUGGUGCUCAUAUGCAACAUGAAGGCGUCUCUGUUACUGUUAUAUGUCGGUUUGAUUUUUUGUUAGGAGGAUUUAUUGUAUCUUUGUGUUGGUGGUGGUAAAAAACGACAGUGCUGUGACUGCUGUCAUCAUGUAUGUUAUCUAUGGCCAAUUCGCUGAUUAAAAAAAAAACAGUUAAAUGUUAAAACCAACGAAAUUAAUCACAUCUGACAAGGGUUUGAUUCGUUUGAAGAGAAGGUGUCGUCAAGUUCCAACAACAAUAAGUGGAGGACUUAUAAUGGGACCCGCUAUUCCACAUGCAAAAGUUAGCGUUUGAAUAAUUCUGGGGAUUCCACGAUCUUAAUUACAGUGGAAUCAAAUCGCUCAAUGGGUGUAAAAAUUUUGCUCUUAGAUCCACAGAUUGAAGGCAGCCCCACGUCAAGACCAAGACUUAACUUGUGUUCAAGCAUUAUGAUAAUUUCAUUAGCUAAGAUUCAAGUAUUCCCCCUCUACGCGAAAUCUCAUAUAUAUGACAUGCUUCUUUAGCUAAGAUUUUGUCCUAUAAGGAUGUACUAGUACUUCAACAGAUUUAAAGAAGAAAAUUAUUUAGUACUCCUGUGACUUUUUGACACAUAUAAAUACUACUUCAUGAUAAAUACUUUGAUAUAUUAUCUUUUGGACUCAAUUAAAAAUAAUUGAUUUCAUAUUUUUAAAAUAUUCUUUAUUGGAAAUUACUAUCACGAAUAAAAAGAAAUAAUUAAAAAUAAAAAUAAAAAUAAAAAUAAAUAAAUAAUAUUUUAGGAAUGUAAAAUUAGUUAGAUUUAUUUAUAUAUAAGUUUAAUAUAUAAGAUUAUUUUUUUUCUUAUACAUGAGUUUAGAUGGAGUAUCAAACUAAAAGUAUUUUUAUUUUAUUUUAUAAGAUUCAAUUAAUUAACUCAUUUGAAUAAAAAAAACUAAUUAUUUAGUUAAUAACAUUAAAUUUAUCUUAAAUUAUAUAUUAUUUUUUUAAAAUUAUUCCUAAUAUUAAUGAGACGUACUUUUAUUCUUUUUAAAAAAAUAUAUUAUUAUUAGUUUUAAUUCCUUUGAUAUAUCUCAUUAAUUAUUUAUUCUAUUAUUGACUAUGCAUAAGGAUAGUCAAUGUAAGGUUCUUAAAAUAUUUUUUAUACAAGACAAAGAUAGACUUCCAAAAAGUCUAAUACAUGAUUAACUUAUUUAUUUCAUUUACUACUAUUUAUUGAACUAAAACAACUUAUAAUUAAGAGUAUUUUUGUGCCAAAAAAAUUAAUAUAAGAGAUAUCAUGACUUGAAUUUUAUAUAUAUAAAAAAAAAGACUACACCGCUUUUAAUUUAGGUUUUAUAAUAAGAACGGAAGGAAAAAGUAAACUUGAGUUCAAAGCAUUAAUCUCUUAAAUAAUUAUGUCAAAUAUUAAAUUAAAUUAUUUCAAUAAGCUUUAAAAACAAUUUGUUUAUCAAAAGAAUUUAUAUACAGUAUUGACAAUAUCAAGUUUUUUUUUACAUUAACAUCUAAUCACGUAUUUUCAUAUAUGGUAAAAUUGUUAAUAUUUUAUAAUAAUUAAUUAAAAAAAUCAUUUCUAUACUGAUUUUUAAUUAUUUAACAACUUUUAAAAAAAUAUAUUGACGGUUUUUAAAUUAAAUUCUUAUAAAAAAAUUGCUUUAACUUAUUUUAAUAAACUUCAUAUACAACCAUAUAAAUAAAAUCUCUUUUAAUAAGAAUUUAUUAAAUAAAGAAGUUACUUAAUUUUCCCAAACAUAAAUAAAAUUUUCCCUUUUAUAUUUUUAAUCAAUAAUUAAAUUGAUUUAGUUAAUAUUAAAUUAUUUGGAUAUUUAAAAAUUGCAAAUAAAAUUAUUUCUAUCAUUUAAAUCAAUUUUUAUUUUUUAAAUUAAAAGAUUUAAAUACUAAUAUAUUUUUGCCAAAAAAUACUUCUAUUUUUAUUUUUAUAUUCAUGAAAUAAUCAGUUAUCAGUUUAAUCAUUUUUUCUUUUUAAAUGUUUUUUAUAUGAGAAUUUUUACAUAAUACACGAACUACUUGCUAAUUAUAUUUUUAUAGAUUCGUCACCUUGGCACUUCAAAGCACCAUGAGCACUAUAUAAACCACCAUCAGCACCAAAUUAUUCCCAUCUUCACAACAUUAGCAUUUUCUAGUGAUUAAGAAUAUAAACAUAUACGAUAGCUACAACAGUUUAAGAUAAGAUGGCUUCCAACACUUGUUCCUCCCUUGCUCUUUUCUUCACACUCAACCUCCUCUUCAUCGCACUUGUUUCUGCAUGCGAUUGUGGUAGUGGUUCAAGCCCUGGUCCAAAACCAAAACCAAGUCCAACACCCAACCCCAACCCAACCCUAACCCUAAGCCCGAAUUCCAAUCACAUCCUAAUCCUAACCCUAACCCUGACCCCAAUCCAAAUCCUAAUCCCAAUCCUUCAGGUGGCUUGUGCCCCCGUGACGCACUCAAACUAGGCGUAUGCGCCAAUGUGCUAAAUGGGUUGCUCAACGUGACUUUGGGCCAACCACUAGUUACCCCUUGUUGCUCCCUCCUCAGCGGUCUUAUUGACCUUGAGGCGGCAGUGUGCCUUUGCACUGCCCUCAAAGCAAACAUCCUAGGCAUCAACCUCAACCUUUCAAUCUCACUCAGCUUACUUCUCAAUGCUUGCUCAAGGCAAACCAUAUACAAUGCCAUGUAUUAGUCAGUGCACUAUUCUAACAACCCAUGGUUAUCCAAUAUUAACAUAACACAUGUAAAUAUUGAUAAACCAAAGGCUAGCAUGCCUUCCAUCUGAAGCUUAUCCAAGUGAAGAAACAAUCUAUUUAUAGCAAAAGAAUCUAUAUUUAAUUUUUUUUCAUGUGUAAAAUUUUCUUAUACUAGUGGCGUGCAAUUAUGCAUUACAAAUAUAAUUAGUCUUUGACUUAAUAGAUUGUGAAACACCGAUAAUAUGUAAUCUAAGACAAAAGAAGACAUAAUUAAUUAAUCGCAAACAUAACUAUUGGAUAAAUCAUUCAUUUUUUUAUAUCGGCUGAAUAAAUUAUUCAUGCAUUAUAAAUAAAUAGUGUAGCAAAGAUAUUUUUACACUGUUAACUAAUUAAUCACAAAAUGUCAUUGAUGUGUUGCAUUUUAUUCUAGGUUUUGCAUGUUUAUUCAUGCAGUUUUGCAUUCAUUUUGUGUUUUGAUCCUUAUAAAGGUGAAUUACUUAAGGAGAUUAUCAUGGAUGCUUGAGGUUCUAUGCUUGUGAUGACUUUAAUAUGGACGAAGAGCAUUAGGAACUAGGAACCAUGUUGAAUCUUGAAUCAAGCAAAUGAAGGACCACGAGCAACUAUGUUCCAAGAUAAAUUAAAAAAAAAAGUGACAAAUUCCACAACUAGAAGACAUGGUGUAUGUGCAUUAUUUUUAGGAUAUCUUGAGUUGUAGACAUCAAAACAACAUGAGACCAAUGCCUAAAUUUUUAGGACAAAAUUAUCUACAAUUUUUGUAAAGACACUAAGUCAAGAAUCUCACGUUCUAAAUGUGAUUUUGGUUAUGCAAGUGAUGCAUGCUGCAACACUUUGUUUCACAUUUGUUUAUUUUGUGGUUUACUUGUAAUUAACUUCAGUCCCUUUUAGGUUUUUAGAUUUAAAUAAAUUUAUUUAGAGUUUUUUUUUUUUGGAAGUUCCCCAUUACGGGAAACCGUGGGGAGGAGCAACAACACAUUGGGAUUGAAAACAAUUUGUCUUUCUUCCUCCUUCUUGGUUUGAUUGUUUUGCCCCUUUUAUUAAUGUUUGAAUUUCUUUUGGUUUGAUUCUUAUUGAUUUUAUUUGUGUGAAUUUUUGGGUCACUUGUUUGCACCUCUUAGAUAAUUUGGAAAGAACCGAAAGGUCAACCUAAUUGUUAGAACUAUAGGAAUCUGAACAUAAAAUCUAAAACGCAAAAGUAGUUUUAUGUUUUGCAGGAAGCACCUAUAAAUUAUUACCAAACUUAUUGGAUUUAAUUUAACAUAACUACUAUAAAGAUAUGGGUGAAUUUAAUUAGACACAGUCUUUAUAGGAGUCGAGAAGAAGGGUUGUUCUGGCCUCCAAUCCUAAGUCGCGUAAACCAAAGUGUCUAUAAUCCCCUAAAAGACAACCUAAAAGAGGUAUUUAGAGGUCUUGGCUCAUAAAUGAUUAAGCCCAAGUACAACAUAAAAAAAAAAUACAAAAUAACAAAUGUAUUGGAUUGCGCUCGCCCCCCAGUGAUCUUAUCUCUGGUGAUUUCGGCCUCCUAUUAGCUUCUUAACCAUGGUUGUAAUCCUAAUCACUCUUCUCCCUAUGAAUUUCUUUGCCAUGCAAGUGCAAUAAAAACCUUCCCAAUUUGGGUCUCUGAGUUCUAAUCCUUUCCAAGAUCAGUCAAACCUAAAAUGAAACAAGACAGUUACACCAUAACAAGUCCUAGAAUGGAACACGUCAACGGAAAAACACAAUGAAAUUACACUAAAAAGAGAAGAAAAAGCAUGGAAACCUAACUAGACAAUAUAGAGAGAUGACAUGAGAUGCAACGAUUAAACAACUAGAUCGGUGAUGCCAAAUUUUAUUGAAAACCAUCAGCACACAAAUAUUUUUAAAGAAUUAAAUAGGUUUGAUUUCCCCAUUGUACCCACACAUACGUAAGAACAAUUUUGAUGAGAUCAAAACAAUCUUCAAAAAAAUAUACUUACAUUCUGAAAUUCACAAUAAAAUAAAAUAAAUUAUUUUUAACAACUUAAUAAGCUAAAGGAAAAGGCAAUCAUUAUUUCAUACAUUAUGUUAAAGGAUACGUAACUGUUGAAAAAUAAUGUGAUAGAAUAUUAAUAUCUUUCUUAUGCAUAGUUAACUCCUGAAUCUAUGUCUAGGUUGAGACAUUUCAUUAGGAUGUUUUCAUAUGUUUUCUUAAUAAAAUAUGGUAGUGGCACCCAUUCUUUCAUUUGAUUCAUAGUUAGGUAUCAUGUUCUGAUCCCAAAACCUAUAAGAAAUUAGGCUUAAUUUAAAUCAACAUAUUCAAAUUACAAAUUAAUAGAAGAAUUAUAUUUUAUUAAAUUAAUUAGGUUGCUACAUAGGGUGAAGAGAAAGGAGAUUCAUACCCCAGUUGUCUCUAAAUAAUUUUUCUUUUUUCAUGUAUGUGAUUUCUGUUUUGAUUUGCAUUACUUUCACGUAUUUUUGGGGUACUCAAAUAGUCCAGGCCAUUAGUAAUAUUGGUAUUUGCAAAAACUCCUUGUGAGAAUCAUACUGUUUUUAACUUUAUUACUUGACAUGACUGGUGCCCUUUCUGUGAUCGAAAAUUGGUAUUUUACUACUACUUGUGUACCUCUAUCAAACCUUCCUCAUUUUUGUUUGGGUACAGAAACCUUCCUUAAUAAUUAUAUACGAAGAGUUUAAUUAUAUAUAUAUAUAUAUAUAUAUAUAUAUAUAUAUAUAUAUAUAUAUAUAUAUAUAUUUGUUGCAAUUCAUAUGUAAAGAAUAAAUUAUUCAGUUAUAUUUAAUUGCAAUAAGUCUUAUAUAAUUUGAUCGUAUUUUAUUAAUGACUUAUUUUUAAUAUUGUUUGCCGUUGAGGUAUUAAUGAUCAUUUAGGAAAAAUCAAAAGGAUUAGACGAUUUUUCCAUAUGCUUAAUAUGGCACUCUAUGGCUUGGCCUUUAUGGUUGAUAAGUAACAACUUUGUUUUUAAAAUGUAUCAUUUGAUUUUAUCUCUUUGUUGUAUUUGAUUGAAUUCUAGUCUUGGUCGUGGCUAUAAGGCUAUUCACUAAUGUUGGUAAGUUGUUUUUUUCCGUUCGCAAAUUGGUGCAUUAAUUUGUUGUACUAUAUGUAAAAUUUGUUGUUACUUGUUAAGGUCCAAAUUGUCUAUAGGAGACACUAUGGGAUAUAUUUUGAAAUCUAGCAUAUUUAGAAGAUUUAGAGUUUAAUUUUCGUAUAUUGUUAAUAUAAAAUUUUUUACACCGUUAAUUAAUUUAAAAUUAUUUUAGAUAUAAUUUUUAAAAUAAUUGUUAUAAAAAUUGAGAAUUUUUUUAUACAUAAAAAUUUAUAAUUGAAUGAUAUAUAAUGUACAUAAAAAAUAUCGUAAUAAAAAAUAUAUAAAUUUGUGUAUAUCUUAAUUAAAUUAUAUUGACAUUUGUUAAGGCAAAUAAUUUGCGAACUUUGCGUAAUAUAAUUUAUUUAUUUAUUUUACAAACGCAUAAUAUAAAAUUGGUUAAUGUGACUUCACGCAAUCCCCCCCAUACACACAAAUUAAGAACAUUUCACGGCCAAAACGCGUGGAAAACUUAGAUAUGAUCUUAAUAUUAAAUUUGCAAUCAGUUUAAGUCAAUAAUUUCGGACUUGUUCACAAAGGAUUGUCUAAACAAGCACUUUUUUUAAAAUGAAAAGAAUUUAGUAUAAGUGUAUAACGUUCUAAUAAUUUCAGUGCCUAUUAGUUUGUCAGACUUCUGUACCUAGUAUAGGCUCCUAGAUGAAUGUUUCGUGUUGAAAAAUGAUCAAAUUUUACAUAAUUAUUUUUUUAAAAUUUAAUAAUAAUGCACUAACACAUUAUAAAAUAUUUUUAAAAUAUCAUUCAAUGACAAUUUAUCAUUAAUCUGAAACAAAUUUAUUAAGUUAUUAUUUAUAAUAAUUUAUGAUUGUACGACAAUAUAAAAUUUUUUACAUUAUAAUUUUUUCUCUCUUUAUUAAAAAAACGUGGUUAAUUUUUUUUGUCUUGAAACAGGAUACUCUCGCCCGGCAUUACCAUUAGGAAAGUUUCUUAAUAAUUGUAUUUUUCAAUAUCUAAAUUUUGCUUGUUUUAUUGGGAUUUUUUAUAAAAUAUUUUAAACAUAAAUCUAAUUAAUACAAUUACAUACUAAUUUGCCCUUGGUUUCUUUUUCAAUCCUGAAGAUUUUAUGACGCAAAUGAAAACGACAAAAAAGAUAAGAUAGGUAUUGAAAUUAUAUUGCAUAUCAUGAAAGAAACGGAAUAUGAAAAUCUAAGAAGAAGCACAUAUAUAUAUAUAUAUAUGGGACUAAAUUACAAUACUUUCUAAGCUUUUUGCAAGUCUUUAAAGUAUUUUCUUUAAUAUAUUACACAUGGAUUUAACUAUCCAUAUUAACUAAUAGUCAUUAUUUAUUUCUCAUAUUUUCGAAGAAAAAAAUUAUAUUAUUUGAUUAUUUGUAGUUUAAUUAAAAGAAUAUAACUUAUAAAUACAGUACCUUAAAAUGUUUUUGAAAUUAUUUUUAACUAAGGUUUUUAUUUUGAUAACGAACCCCAACUUUUGAUUCUAACUUAUAUUGCGUGGAUUAUCGAAAAAAAAUUAAUUUUAAUUAUAAAAACUUUUAAGAAACUAAGCCUAAGUUUUCUUUUCUUCAAAUUCAUAAUUUAAGAAUAGCUAUUAGCCAGCCAAUUAGCUAGUGAUAAUGUGAGGAUAUGAUUAAAAAUGUAAUAAUAGCUAUUAGCCAAUUAGCUAGUGGUAAUGUGGGGAUUUGAUAGGCUGUCGUGAUACACAUUUUUCUUUUAUUUAGAAGUUAUCGGUGGGGUCUCUGGAAAUUCCAAAUUUAAACAAAAUAGAAUUUCAAUCUUAAAAAAAAAAGAGGUACACGAAAAUAAAUACUUAAAAAAAGGUAUACGAGAAUAAAUUCUAUUAAUUAUCAAUAAUUUAAAUUUCUAAUUGAAUUAUACAUAUAUAUACUAUAUUAACUCCUUAAAAUUUAUUUUUUAUUUAUAGGAAUAGAAUUCAAAUAUCCAAGAGUUUACGACAACGUACACACAUGGCUCGAUCAAUGGAAUUAAACCUCUUUGAUAUUUUUUUAUCAAUAAAUAUUAAUUAUUAGUAGUUAGUUUUUGUUAGUAAAAAUUCUCAAAUUUAUAACCUCUUUUUUUUUUCCUUCUUCUCUCAUUUUUCUUUCAUCACUAUUUCAAUCUUAUAACUCUUAAAAAAGAUUCAAAAGUUUCCCUAAUGCAAAAUUGAACUACAUACAAACACAAAGACCUCCUUGAUAUUAACUAAUUAAAAAUGAUACACUUAAUUUUUAAAAUAAUUAUUUCAAAAAUUAAUAACUUUAUCACAAACAACACAAUACACCUAUAGCUUGCUAAAAGGAACCUUGACAAAGCUGUUUUUUUUUAAUAAGGGUUCCCUCGGCCCUUUAUGUUCAAAUGAGACUGAGUCAAAUGCUCAUUUGUUCUUUUCUUAUAGGAAAUCUCUCCAAGUUUGGACUCACAUUCGUGAUUUGGCUCCUUUCCGCAAGCGUUUCACUUCUUUGCAGCGCAUUACUGACUCUUUAAUUAAGGGCAGAUCCACAGUGUUCAAGGAAAAUUUCGUUGUCUGACUAUAACAAUUAUAGUCUACUGCAUCUGGCUGUUUAAGAACAAACUGAUUUUUAAAGAUUAUCAAUUUUCUGUAAUAGAGAUUAUUAGUAAGAUUAAGUUUUUUAUAUAUAGACAAACGUACCUGUUAUAUUUGUUUUAACAUCUUGAUAUAGGCCUUCUUAUAUUAGGGAGACUUUUGAUUUUCUCUAGUUGCAGAGUAUGCCCCGUUUAUUGUUAUAUUAUUUUGGGUUUAAUAUAAUUUACAAUUUUUCAAAAAAAAAAAAAAGUGAUUGACCUAUGUGGCAUUAGAUUCAGAUCCUUUGAGCAUGCACUAAUUAAGAAACUCAAAUCCUAAAUAGCGUGCAUGAAAAAAAACUUAAUUGGGUGAAAACAAUCUGCCUAUAAAUGCCAACAAAUUAAAUGUCUUUGAAGAAAUUAAAAAUCUCGGUGAUCCACAUGAACAUUUCUUUACAAUCAUAUGCCUACAAAAACAACAUAAUACAUUUAAAUCCAAAUUUUGGUAUUUAUUUAGGCUAAACUAUCAUUUAGUUUCUCUAUUUGUUUAAUUAAUUCAAUUUGGUUUUUUUAUUAAAAAGAUUAAUUUUGGUAUUUUUUUCAAAACUGAUGCAUGUGUACCUUUCCUGUUAAUGCCAUUUAAACUUCUAUCAGAAAUAUCCUACGUGGUCAUUACAUGUUAUUAUUUUAUUGUGCUACAUAUAUAAGAAGUUAACGCCGUUUCGUACCUAUAUAGAAAUGAUAAUAUAGUAUCAAUUUUAAAAAUUAAGGAAUUAAGUUAAACUUCUUUAAUAAUAAAAAAAUCAAAUUGAAUUAAUUAAAUAAAUAGAAGGACGUGCUAAAUUAAUAAUUUAGCCAAAAGUUUAAAUGCAACCAAAUUAAUCACAUCUAACAAACAAGAAUUUGUAAAAAGUGUGUCGUCAAUUUAAAACCUUAACAGGUAAUUAUUGUCAAAACUUAUUCGACACUUAAUUUCUUUAUCAAAUCAUUAGGAUUUGAUUUUGACUUGAGAAUAGAUAGAGUCUUGUAAUAUGACUUUAUUCUCAAAUAAAUUAACCCGAUGGGUGAAAAUUUGCUGGAUGCCUAAUAGUUAGAAACCCAAAAUACUUUCCGAUUAUGCACACACCAAAAGAAAAAGUGAUACUUAUAACAAUACCCACUAUUCCACGUGCAAAAUCUCUCGGGUGGGUUUGGUUGCGAGAAAAUAAAAGAAAAAGGAAUUUUUAUAUAAAAAAAAAACAUGUAUAAUAUUUCACACUUUUAAUAUUCUAUUUUAAUUCAAAUAUUUUUUUUUACAAUUUUCUUUCUUUUUCUUCUUUUUUUCCUCGACCAAAUUAAAUCGCCCUGCAUACUCUCUGAUCCACCGAUUGAUGGAAGUCCCAACAUCACAGAUCACAAGUGUCCAAAACUUAAUUUAAGGGCUUUCCCCGCCGGCUAAAAUUCCCAUGUUCACACAAGAGCAUGUACUUAAAUUUAUGUAAUAAGUUCAAGUGUUUACUUAUAGUUUUCAGGUAUUGUAUUUAUAAGUUUGGUUAAAUUAAUUUAUUUUUAAUUCAAUUUACUCAUUAAAUUCUUUUGGGAUUCAAUUUAUUUUUUUAAUUUUUAAAAUUGAUUCAAUUUAAUUAUAUUAUCUAAAUUCAAUCAAUAAUAUUUAAAAAUUAUAUUUUAUGAUCGUUUAAAAUCACUUAAUAAUGAUUGUAAAUCAUCAUACAUUUAGAUGAAAUGAUCAAAUUUAGAUGACAGAACCACUCAAAUUAAUUUAAAAAAAGAUUAAAUUGAAUCAAUUUUUAAAAAUUUAAAAAUCAAAUUAAAUAUAAAAAAUUAGAAAAUUAAAUCAAACUAAUUUUUAAAAAAUUAAAUUGAACCUAAAAAAUAAAUUAGAAAAAAAAAUCAAUUUUACUUGUAAGUUUUAAUUAGAUCGACUACUAUUAUGUUUUGGUUCCAAUAAUCAGUUUCAGUUCACUUUUUUUUACAGCAAAUUUCGGUUCACUUUAUGGUUAUCUAACCUGAUAUUAUUCGAUUCCGGUAUCGGUUUAUAAGUUUGCAAACCCGAAUAAUCUGAUCCAAUCCAAACGCAUAUACACUGAACUUUCGUUCUAGAGCUCUGCAGCACUUCAGCACAAUCGUUUUUAUUUUUUCUCAGGGUACCAGAGCUUCUGCCAUCAUGGAUGGACACCGUGUUACUCCAAAAAUACAAGAUUGAUUUGAUGAUUGAAAAAUAAGAAUUUAAACAUAAAGGAAAAAAGAGAAGUCUCAAGAUUAAAAUUCUGCUUACCGAUAUUUUAAUAAAAUUAACAAAUUAAUUUGUUUGAUAAAAAAAUAAUAUUAGGAUGUCUCUUGAUAAGGAUCUUUGAUCUUAGUUCGCCAACCUUGACUUUCUUCCAAGCUCGUUCUCUCUCAAUCUCUUUCAGUCACGAAUGGUCGCACUAUGCAAUAACUGCAGCUACGCUAUUUUGCUGCUCCCUUCCCAUAGAGAGAUUAAUAGGGCACCCCCAUUAUCACACAAAAUUAGUGGGAUGGGUUUGGACUUGGACCGGACUCCUCUAGCCUUUUCCUUUUUUAUAUUUUCCCAUUUCUUAUAGUCAAAUGCUUAUGAGACCCUUUCUUAAUUAAGACUUUAUUUCUAGCUUUUUUUUUUUAAAAUUACUGAUUUGAAAUGUUCCACUUUUAAACUAGGAGAUAGAAUCGUUAAAUAAAAAAUAAAACUCAUUAAAAUUAAUAAUUUCUAAUAAAUUUUAUUAGAGAAUGAUAGAAAAAAAAAGAAUAAAGAGAAUAAAUUAUUACACGUGACACGUACAUAAGUUAUUAAAUUUAAUUUAAGAGAAAAUAAUUCAUAAUAUUUAAUUAUUUUUCAUUUAAAGAUUGAUUGAAAUCAUCAACAAGUGAUCAUCCGUGUAAUAAUUUUUUGCAUAUUGAAUUUAGUGACUCAAAAAGUUUCGAUAAAGAUAGGAUUAGUUUCAUUAGGGUGCUUAUAUAAAGAUCAUGAAACGUGAAGCAAUUCUGUUGUGUGUGGCUGGACGAUCAUGGUCCGGACGACCGGGGCAGACGAGGGAAAUUGUACUCAGUUAGUUGGUUAAUUUCUGUUAUAACUUCCAUAACAGAAAUAAUUAUUUUCUGUUAGAGUCUAUGGGUAUAAAUACAUUGUAUUUAUCAACUCUUGUACGUUCAUGAUUGAUUAAUGCAUAAGUCCCUCUUACGCUGAGAAUUACUUGUUGUCUCUUUACUCUCGUUUUCUUGUUUUCUCUCUCGUUUGUUGCGUCCAUCUCGAGUGUUCGUAGGCUCUGUUUUGGGUAACAGAUUGAUAUCAGAGCUCAAGGUUGGAGUUGAUCCUUGGGGGUAUUCUUUGAUCUUUGAAACAACUUCCUGAUUGUUUAACAAAGGUUUCUGCAUCAAAGAAUGGGUUCUGCGAAGUUUGAUAUCGAGAAGUUCACAGGCAAGAAUGAUUUCAGCCUGUGGAGGAUAAAGAUGAGGGUGUUGCUGGUUCAUCAGGGGCUGGAUGUUGCUCUUGAUGGGAAGAACCUCCCAAUGCAUUUGUCGAAGAGUAAGAAGAAAGAGUUGCUUGACAAGGCGCACAAUGCUUUGAUUCUUUCCCUGGGUGACAAGGUUCUAAGGGAAAUAUCAAAGGAGAAAUCUGUUGCGGUGGUGUGGCUCAAGCUGGAAAGCCUAUAUAUGACCAAAUCUUUGGCCAAUAAGUUGUUCUUGAAGUAGAGGUUGUACACGUUCAAGAUGUCAUCGGGUAAAUCCUUAGAGGAUCACUUGGAUGAUUUCAAUAAGAUCAUUCUUGAUCUGGAGAAUAUUGAAAUCAAGGUGAACAAUGAGGAUCAAGCGUUGUUGCUGCUCAGAUCAUUACCAAGUGAGUAUGAUAGCCUCUCAGACACGCUCAUAUAUGUCAUUGGAUGAGGCGAAGGCUGCCCUAUUUUCGAAGGAGUUGAAGAAGAAAUUAGAGGGAGGUGGCUAUCAGGACGCUGAAGGAUUGUACACGAAGGGCAGAAUGGAGAAGAAGGAUCCCAAGAACAAGAAGGGAUCAAGAUCGAAGUCACAUGAUGGAAGGAAAAGAAGGUGCUUUGUGUGUGGGAGUGAUGAAGAAAGAUUGCCCAGACACAAGGAAAAAGAAGCAGGGCAAUCAAAAGAGUCAGAAUGGUGAUGCGGACGUGGCUGUAGAAGGGUAUGACAGCACAGACGUCAUGUGUGUUUCAGACGUGAAGAUAAAACCAAAGUGGGUGCUGGACUCUGGGUGCUCAUUCGACAUGUGCCCUGAGAAGAACUGGUUUUGUUCGUAUGAAGAAUGCAACGGAGGCCAGGUUCUUUUGGGUGACAAUAAAGCCUGCAAGGUGGUUGGGAUUGGAGCUAUAGAGUUGAGGCUUGCAGACAGCACCAUCAGGACACUGAAGGAGGUGAGGCAUGUGCCUGACUUGAAGAGAAAUUCAAUUUCUCUUUGUAUGUUGGACAAGUAGGGGGCACACAUGCAAGGUUAAAGGCAGAGUCCUGAAGGUCACGAAGGUUCAUUAGUGAUCCUGAAAGGGAGAUUGGUGCAUGGCUUGUAUCUCCUAGAAGGAAACACAACAUCGUUCAACAUUGCGUCGUCCAGCACUAAAUCAUCUAGUGCUGCUAUUGUGACUGCACAGAUGCACUCUCAGGCAAGUCUCUGGCACAAGAGACUUGGUCACAUCAGUGAAGGAGGCAUAAGAGAACUUAGCAAGCAGAAGUUGCUUGGCAAGAAGAGUCUGGACGCAUUGGAGUUUUGUGAGCACUGCAUCUACGGCAAGGCCAAGAGGUUGAAGUUUGUUGUUGCUGAACACCAUUUGAAGGGGACUCUGGACUACAUCCAUAGCGAUCUAUGGGGGCCUACGUAUGUUCUUUCACACAGUGGAGCAAGGUACUUCCUAUCCAUCAUUGAUGAUUUUUCGAGGAAGGUAUGGGUUUUCAUCCUUAAGAGUAAGGAUGAAGUCUUUGCUAAGUUCAAAGAGUGGAAGGUGUUGGUUGAAACUCAAACUAGCAAGAAGGUCAAAAAGCUGAGGACUAACAAUCGUUUGGAGUUUUGUUCUGAUGAAUUCAAUCAGUUCUGUAAAAGGAAUGAGACUGAAAGGUAUAGAAGGAUCAAGGGAACACCUCAACAGAAUGGACUUGCAAAGAGGAUGAACCAAACGAUUAUGGAGAGAGUCAGAUGCUUGUUGUCUGACAGUAAUUGUUCGGGGCAUUUCUGGGGUGAGGCUGUGAUGACAGUCUGUUACCUCAUCAAUAGGUGUCCGUCCACUGCCACCAACAUGGUGACUCCUGAAGAGAUGUGGAGUGAUCAUUCACCCAACCUCAAGAAUUUGAGAGUGUUUAGGUGUGUGACAUAUGCUCACAUUAGACAAGACAAGCUUGAACCGAGGGCCUUGAAGUGCAUGUUUCUGGGGUACCCACAAGGAGUAAAGGGGUAUAGGUUAUGGUGCAUGGAGAAGGGGCAUGUUGUGUUCAAGGAGUCUGAAAUGUAUCACUUGAAGGAGGAUUCAAGUAAAGGGAAGGCAGUGUGGACGCAGGAGAGCGUCCAGUUAGAGGUGGAGUCUGGUGCAGGAUCGUCUAGUGCAGGAAGGGGUCGUCCACUACUUGGGUCUACAAGUGCUGAAGUGGAGCGUCCAGAGCAUGGGUCGUCUGGUGCCAGAGUCAAGACGCAAGGGGAGGAACAGGAGGCUGACAUCAUGCAUUUAGACUUGCAGGACUAUCUCUUAUCACGAGAUAAGGAAAGGAGGGUCAGCAACCCACCAAAUCGGUUUGGUUAUGCUGACAUGGUUGCAUUCACCCUCAAUGUUGCUGAGGACAUUGAGGGAAGCGAGCCGAAGAGCUAUGUGGAUGCUGUGAAUAGAAAACACUCCAAGGAGUGGACGAUUGCUAUGCAGGAAGAGAUAGACUCGUUGCACAAGAAUGACACUUGGGUGCUAGUAGACAAGCCAAAGGUGUCCAAGUUGGUUAGCUGCAGAUGGCUGUACAAGCUGAAGGAGGAAAUUCCAGGAAUGGAAAAGGCUAGGUACAAGGCACGAUUGGUGUCACAAGGGUUUACACAAAGGUAGGGUAUCAAUUACAAUGAGAUAUUCUCGCUUGUUGUGAAACACUCAUCAAUCAGGAUGGUGCUAGCCUUGGUCGUCCAGCAGGACAUGGAGUUGGAGCAGUUGGACGUAAAGACAAUUUUUCUACAUGGAGAACUGGAUGAGGAGAUCCAUAUGAUGCAACCAGAAGGCUUCAUAGAGGAGGGCAUGGACGACAAGGUGUGUUUGUUGAAGAAGUCUCUCAAUGGCCUUAAGUAAUCUCCAAGACAAUGGUACAAACGUUUUGAUACGUUCAUUGUGGAUGGGGUUGUCACAUAUCUUCUACUGUAUGUAGAUGAUAUGUUGAUUGCGUCCAGAUGCAAGGCAGAUAUUGAGGAAGUUAAAGUGCUAUUGGAAAGGGAAUUUGAAAUUAAGAAUUUGGGUGCUGCAAGUAAGAUUCUAGGGAUGCAGAUCACGAGGGACAUGGUCCAGGGAGUGUUGUGCCUGGAUCAGAGGAGCUAUGUAGCUAAGGUGCUGAAGACGUUCAACAUGGAUCAGUCCAAGGCAGUGUUGACACCCAUGGCCCAAUAUUUCAAACUUUCUCAUCAGCAUUCACCUCAGACGAAGGAAGAAGCAACAUACAUGGAGAAGGUUCCAUAUGCGAAUGCAGUGGGCAGCCUCAUGUAUUUGAUGAUCCGCACAAGGCCCGACCUGGCAUAUGCUGUGAGUUUAGUUAACAGGUACAUGGGAAAACCAGAGAAGAUACAUUGGGAAGCUCUGAAGUGGAUCUUCAGAUAUCUGAAGGGAACGUACAAGGCAUGAUUGUUGUAUGCCAAGCAUGAGAGCUCAAUGGACGAUGUGGUUGGAUUUGUUGAUUCAGACUAUGCUGGAUGCCUCGACACUAGACGGUCACUUACUGGUAUGUGUUUAAGUUCUGUGGUAACACUGUGAGUUGGAAGUGCAACCUACAGCAUGUGGUUUCACUAUCCACAACUGAAGCUGAAUUCAUUGCUCUCACUGAGGCAAUCAAAGAGGCUGUGUGGAUGAAGGGUAUGGCAACGAGCUUGUAUACUAAGGUGAAUGGUGUUAAGGUGUACUGUGACAACCAAAGUGGCAUUCACUUGGCCAAGAACCAGACGUACCAUGAGAGGACGAAGCACAUUGAUGUUAAGCUGCACUUUGUGAGGGAGGUUAUUGCAAAGGGGGAAGUAGUCGUCGAGAAGAUCCACACUAAAAACAAUCCAGCGGAGACAUCGACGAAGGCAUUACCAGGGCCUAAGUUCAAACAGUGUGUGCAAAUCAUGAAGGUUGAAGGAGCAUGACGUCCAACCAAGGUGGGGAAUUGUUGUGUGUGGCUGAACGAUCAUGGUCUGGACGAUCAGGACAGAUGAGAGAAAUUAUACUCAGUUAGUUGGUUAAUUUCUGUUAUAACUUCCAUAAUAGAAAUAAUUGUUUUCUGUUAGAGUCUAUGGGUAUAAAUACAUUGUAUUUAUCAACUUUUGUACGUUCAUGAUUGAUUAAUGCAUGAGUCCCUCUUCUGCUGAGAAUUACAUGUUGCCUCUUUACUCUCGUUUUCUCCUUUUCCCUCUCAUUUGUUGCAUUCAUCUCGAGUGUUCGUAGACUCUGUUUUACGUAACAAAUUCAAUUUGAAUAAUUUUGGAAUAAUUUAAACUUGAUUCAAUUAGACCUAAUUACACCCUAUACUAAAUCAAUUUAAUUUUGAAAUGUCAUUCAAUUUAAGUUUGUAUAUUUUACCUAUAUAUUUGCAUGAUACACUAACUACUUGCUAAUUUUUUAAUAUAUUCGUCAUCAUAUUCCCUUUGACACUUCCAAACACCAUGAGCACUAUAUAAACCCCAUCCACACCAAAUUACUCCCAUCUUCACAAACACUCUUCUUUUAAGCUCUAGCAGUUAACUAGCAAUAUUAGCAUUUCCUAGUGAAGAUGGCUUCCAAAACUUGUUCCUCCCUUGCUCUUUUCCUCGCACUCAACCUCCUCUCCUUUUCACUUGUCUCUGCAUGCGGUAGUUAUUCAUGCCCUAGUCCAAAGCCAAAGCCAAAGGCCAACCCCAACCCUAGUCCUUCGGGUUCAUCGUGCCCCCGUGACGCACUCAAGCUAGGUGUAUGUGCCAACGUGCUAAAAGGGUUGUUGAACGUGACUUUGGGUCAACCACCAGUAACCCCUUGCUGCUCCCUUCUCGAUGGGCUCGUUGACCUUGAGGCUGCAGUGUGCCUUUGCACUGCUCUCAAAGCAAACGUUUUGGGCAUCAACCUCAACCUUCCACUCUCACUCAGCUUACUUCUCAAUGUUUGCUCAAGGAAAGUUCCCCGUGAUUUCCAAUGUGCCUAAUAUAGCCUAUACACAACAUAUCAUAUAUAUAUAUAUAUAUAUAUAUAUAUAUAUAUAUAUAUAUAUAUAUAUAUAUAUAGCAUGUUUGAAAACUCGUUGAGGAUGGAGAAAUCAUGUCUGGGAUGUGUAAGCUACAACUAUUAGCUUCUUAAAAUCACAUCUAGAACAUGAAAAGUCGUAUCCGAAACAUGAAACCAAACAUGUUAAUCAUCCUAUCUACUUUUUCUUCGUGUUUGCUAGUUGUGGCUUUCCAUUUUUUUUUUUCAAAGUCUAUUGAUCAGCGUGUGAAUCUUGUACGUGCAUAGAGGGUUAACUUCUCGUUAUUCCUUCCUUUCCGUGUUCUUUAAAUUGUAAGGUUAGAGUGUUGCAAUAAAUUAAUAAAUAAGUUCCCGAUAUGCUUGCUUGUCUACGCAAGGGAACCAAAGAUGAUGAACUGUGUUAUUUGUUUGAUUGAGAAAUGAUCAUUAUAUGACAAAUAAUCGUUUGGAAAAUUAAUAAAUAUGUUGGGCACGUUUAUGAAGGGGGUCACUGAUGUAAUAGUACCAGAUUACGUAUGCAGGGGCUGAACAAAUAUGCUUGCUGGAUGCUGUGAGAUUUUAUAUAUGCUGCGUCAAUAGUUUAGGAGCUGGAGCAGAUUAUAUGUGUGUUGUGGGAUUUUGCAGGGUAGUGGUUCAUAAUGUAAAAGGGUUUGGUUACCCAUAUACCCUCUAUUAUAUAAAAUUUAUUUGGAUCAUAUAAAAAAAAUCCUUCUUAAUUUAUUUUUGCCCUUUCCUUUUGUAUUUUUGAAGAAUGAGAUCACCAACUGAUCAAAUAAAUUACUCGGCCGUUCUAUUUUACUAUCGUCCAAUUCCCUCGUCCCCAAAAAGAGGUCACUAACUGGCGACAUCCAAUUUAGUCCUCUAUUAAGGAGGAAAAAGCUGCAUACGAUUCGUUACCUUUUUUUACCAUGCAUGGUAUGAUCUAUUUAAGCCAUGCAUAAUAAUAAAAUUGUAUUUCAAGGUGUAUCUUUCGACUUAGUAGUGUUUUAGAUUUUGAUAAAGAUUAGACCGUGGACAUUAAGAAAUAGAGUUUAAUAUUCUUUUUCUGAUUCAAGUAUUGGUUGAAAAUGUAUAUUACGGGACGACAUAUUACUAAUCAAGUGUUAGUUGAAAAUGUCGGGAACACAAGAGAGUCCAUCAUAUUAUUAGUAACUUGUUGAACCAUGCAUUUCCCCUCAAUUUAAGAGAUCAAUGGAAGAAAAAACCAUCGACAUUCAAAUUACUUUUCCCGGUUAUAGUGACAAUAUAAUAAAUAAUAUAAACAAAUAAUAUAUUUUGAAUCACCUUAAUAUUAAAUGUAAAAUAUUUAUUUAUUUUAUUAAUGAUUAUUCUCCUUUAGAUAACCUUACAGGUCACCCAUUAAAUCUCUCUUUCCAUUUUUUUUAAUUAUAAGAUUUGAACUUCAAAUCCUACUUAAGGAAUUUAAAUCUAAUUUUACUCAAAUUAAUAACAUUUGUUAUUCAAACAUAUGAUGUAUUGAUUGUAUACAUAUUUUUAUAUAUUAAAAUUAUGCACAUCUAUAAAAUUUAUAUGACUAAAUUAUUGUUUUAAUUUUUUAUUUAUAGUUUUGGAGUCGGCAAAUAGAAAAUGGAGGAUUAUAUGGAGUGCUGUAUCUUGUGUUAUAUGGAACUGGAGGAACAACAUGGUGCUUAGAGGUGCAACCUUUCACCGGGAUAAAGUAAUCUAUGAAAUACUCUUUCAAAGCUGGUCGUGGAAUAGAUAGAUCUAGUGAGCACAGGAUUUUAGCUCCUUUGUACCGUGGGAAAUUGGUCCUGGGGAAUGCUUGUUAAUUUGAAAGGUAUCUUUAUUUUUGGCCUGAGUUCGUGGUGCUGAAAGCUGCGUAUCAGAUGCUUGUAGGAUUGCUUGGUGGAUUGUUUAUGGUCUGCUGCGGUUUGGCUGGAGUUGGUCCUUGUGGUGAGGUGCUGCUGUAUUUAGAGGUCAGGGGCGUUGGUGUUUGCUUGGUUAUGCCACUGGUUGGUUACGUGUGACUAGAAAUAUAUAUAUUGGGUAUAUGAUGGUCUUUAAUUUUCAUAGCUUCAAUCUUUUGAGUAUGCAAUUGUUCCUUGUACGUAUACUUCAAGCUUCAGGACUGUUUGAAGCAUAUAUAUUUUAGGUGAUUUUUGGUUCAGCUUUGUGGUUGGAUUUUCCUUUGUAUUAGCCACAAAGGACAUGUAUGUUUUAUUCUAUGUCAUGGCCCUACUUGUGCUGCUAUCUUAAUAAUAUAUGAGGUUCCAUUUGAUUAUUGAAAAAAAUAUUUUAAUUACCUUUUUUUAUUUAAUCGAUGUAAGUUGAUUUCUUUAUAAUAAAAGUUUUAAUUUAAUUCUUUAAUUUUCAAAAUCAUGUCAAAUUUUGUUAUUUUCAUCUAAUUGAUCAAAAUAUAUAAUCAUCAAAAUGGGUUACAAUCGACAAGCCACCCGAUCCAUCACAAAUUUGAAUCAGGUUGGAUUAUUUUUUUUCCAUUUCAUUUAUGUAUAAAAUAUGACCCACCUGACCUGUGCUGGGCUAUGUUGACUAGCGAACCAAAGACAUGUUAAUGCUACAAAAAAAACUCACUAGUCACACAGCACAACAAUUAUGAUUAGGCUUGACCUUUUUUUUCACUCUUUUUUCUUGAUUAAGUUAUUAUUCUUGCUUUCUUAUUAUUAAUUAGGCAAUUUUUUUUUUCCUUUUGAGCAACCCAUCUUCGACUGACUUGACCCACUUUGACAGCUAUAGGUGUUAGUGAAAUCUGACACGUGCCACUUUUACUCGUUUUAGCCACCAAUGCCAUUCUAAUCAAUUAAACAUAAAUGAUAAUAUUGAUGUAAUUUUUAAAAUUAAGGAAUUAGCUUAAAUUUUUAACAAUAAAAAGACCAAAUUGAAUAUAUAAAAUAAAAAUUGAGAAAAAAAGAGUAUUUUAGCCUAUUUAUAUUAAUAGUUUAAUUUUCGUAAAAAAAAUGCAUACAUAGACUAAUUCAAAACUUAUUUAUUAGAGUUUUAUUUUUGUUUAAUGAAGUGAUUUAAUAGUCAUUAUUUGCUUCUAUGAUUUUUGAAUAAAAAAUCUAUCAAUUAUUUUUUUAUACUUUACUUGAAAGAAUAAAAGUUAUUAUAUAUCAUCUAAAUUUUUGUUAUUAUUUUUAAAUAAGGUUUUAUUUUAAUGACCGUUUUUAUUUUAACAUAUGCAGUAUUACUAGAUUGUCGAAAUAAAUAUCUAAUUUUAAUUAAAAAAAACCUUUAAGAAACUAACGUACCGUUUGAUUUGAGUGUUUUUUUUUUCUAAAAAUAAUUUUCAUUUUCAAAUUUUUAAGAUUUAUAAAGCAUAUAUCAAAAAUAAAAUACUCUAUGGUGUUUUCAUUUCUUCAUAAAAAUUAAAAAUAUUGAUAUGUUGUUUUUAAUUUUGUGCCUAUUUUUAAAAAUAUUUUCAAAAAAAUACUUUCAAAAUUCUAAACAAAUGUAGUUUUAUUAUUAUUUUUUAUUUUCUUUAAAAAUAAAAACAGAAAACACUCCCAUCAAACACCACCGAAUUCUAAUUAGUUUUAAAUUAAUAAUUUAAUCGUUGCUAGUAUAGGCAAAAUAGCUAGUUGUAAUGUAAGGAUUUGAUUAAACAUGUAAUAAUUGCUGUUGGCCUAUUAGUUAAUGGUAAUGUGAGGGUUUGGCAGGCUGUCGGGAUAUACAUCAUCAUCAUUUUUUUUAACAGAGUUAUCGAUCGGAGUACUCUAGAAGGUCCAAAUUUAAAACAAAAUGGAUUUUCAAUCUUAUAGAGCUACACGAGAAUAAAUGCUAGUAAAGUUAUAAAUUGAAACUUAAUUAAAUAUACUGAAUAUAUAUACAUAUAUAAUAUAUCAUAAAAUUGAUCAAUUUUGUUAAUUUUUAUCGAUGAUAAUAUUUUUGUUUAAAUUUAAUUUUUAUAUGAUGUCAGUGUAAUUUUUUUAUAUUAACUAGUUAAAAAUUAUUCUACAUAAUUAUUAUAAAAAUUAACGAGCUCAUCAUUAAAAAUUUAAUGCAUUACAAUUAAAUUCUUCCUACUUUGUUGUUUAAAAUUUUAAAUCCAACCAAAUUGCUAUUGGCUCUAAUCUUAAAUGUAAAUAAAAAAAUAACUCAUAUAUAGUUAUUUAAAACAAAUAAAUUUUAACUUUUUUAAAAAAAAUUCUCCAAAACAUUUUUUUAUUUAAAUUUUAUCUCAAUAACCUCUUUAAUUCUCGUGAUAUGAAUUGCAUGACUUUCAGAAAGAAAGAAAAAAUUUCAAUAAAAAAAAGUUUCUAUUAAAAUAAUGUUUUAUAACAAUUAGCGUGUGAAGAGUAGUUUGAAUAAUGGACAUUAUUUUUUUAACAAAAUACAGAAAAUUAAAUAAAUUAAAACUCACUAAACUAUUCUGAAACAAUCAUCAUAUCCUUCAUCCGAGUGAAAUUUAACUUAAAUUUUUUAACUAAAAUAUGAAAUUUAAUAAUUGUCGCAAAAAAUUAUUUUUGGUGUAGUGACACUUUGUAGAUGAAAGAAAGUAAAGAAAUAAUUGAGAUGGGAGACUCUCAUAAAAGUGAAUCAUUCAUAUUAUUUAACAAAAAAAUUAAUUGUUAGUAAAAUAAAUGAAUAUUUGGUACUGAUAAUAUCAUAAAAAUUACCAUGAAUGUUUUUGAACAUAAAAAAUAGUAAAGAAUAUCUUACAUGAUGAUUUUGUAGAGAAGUUGUGGUCAAUUUACAGCCACAAUUAGUGAUACUUAGAAAUGGGACCCGCUAUUCCACGUGCAAAAGUUAGCAAUUGCAUAAUUCUGGGGGCUCCAACGAUCUUACGGUCGCGGAAUCAAGUUGCCCAACGGAUGCAAAACUUUGCUUCCCGCAGAUCCACCGAUUGAUGACAGUCCCUACAUCAACAAGUCACGAGCAUCCAAAAGUUAAGGACUUAAUUUUUCGCCAGCUAAAAUUCGAUCUCAUGUUCAUACAUCAUUAUUUCAUUAGCUUCAUAUUUAUUUAUAAAAUAAAUUAUGUUUAUUUUUUAUUGUCAAAAAUCAAAUACUGUACUUAAGGUAUUAUAUGUCUUUAUUCUUAAUUAAAAUUAGCAUUUCAUCUAGAUAAUUAUUCUUAAUUUUAGUUAUAAAUAAUAGUAAUUAUUAAAAUAAAAUUUUCAUUUUAUUGAAAAAUCACUCCAAUUAUUUUUAUAAUACCAUAUCUAGAUUUAAUUUAUUUUUAAGAGAAAAAUCACUCUCAUGCAUGCAUUCAUAUGUUCCUUUUAUCGGUAAUAUAUAAUACUUUUUUAUAUUUUUUAUUAAUAAAACUAAUCUAUCAUUAAUUAUAUCAAUUUUGUAAAUGUCUUUUAAUUUAAGCUUUAUAUUUUACCUAUAUCGUACAUAUAUAAUACAAGAACUACUUGCUAAUUUUUUAAUAGACUCCUCAUCAUAACCCCCUUCACUUCAAAACACCAUGAGCACUAUAUAAACUACCUUCCACAGCAAAUUACUCCCAUCCUCACAAACACUCUUCUCCUAAGCUCUAGCACUUAACUAGCAAUAUUAAUUAGCAUUUGCUAGAGAGACUAGGAGUAUAAACAUACCCCAGUUUAAGAUGGCUUCAAAAACUUGUUCCUCCCUUGCCCUUUUCCUCACACUCAACCUCAUUUUCUUCUCACUUGUUUCUGCAUGCGGUUAUACACCAUGCCCUGGUCCAAACCCAAAGCCAAGGCCCAACCCCAACCCUAACCCUAACCCUAGCCCAAGUGGCUCCUGCCCCCGUGAUGCACUCAAACUAGGUGUAUGCGCCAAUGUGCUAAACUUGGUGAACGUCACUUUGGGUCAACCACCAGUUACCCCUUGCUGCACCCUUCUCGAUGGUCUCGUUGACCUUGAAGCUGCAGUGUGCCUAUGCACUGCCCUCAAAGCAAACAUUUUGGGCAUCAACCUCAACCUUCCAAUCUCACUCAGCUUGCUUCUCGAUGUUUGCUCAAGGAAAGUCCCACGUGAUUUCCAAUGUGCCUAAGCUUAUACUAUCACAUAUCAUCUUAUAUCCUUCUUCUGCUUCGGGUUUGCUCUAGUUGUGCUUUUCCAUUUUUUAUUU
rnacentral:lncRNA from 1 species